rnacentral:rRNA from 1 species
AGGACGAACGCUGGCGGCGUGCUUAACACAUGCAAGUCGAGCGGAAAGGCCCUUCGGGGUACUCGAGCGGCGAACGGGUGAGUAACACGUGAGCAACCUGCCCCUGGCUCUGGGAUAGCCUCCGGAAACGGGGAUUAAUACCGGACAUGACCUGCUGCCGCAUGGUGGCGGGUGGAAAGUUUUUCGGCCAGGGUGGGGCUCGCGGCCUAUCAGCUUGUUGGGGGGGUGACGGCCCACCAAGGCGACGACGGGUAGCCGGCCUGAGAGGGCGACCGGCCACACUGGGACUGAGACACGGGCCCAGACUCCUACGGGAGGCAGCAGUGGGGAAUAUUGCGCAAUGGGCGGAAGCCUGACGCAGCGACGCCGCGUGCGGGAUGAAGGCCUUCGGGUUGUAAACCGCUUUCACCAGGGGCGAAGCGAGAGUGACGGUACCUGGGGAAGAAGCGCCGGCUAACUACGCGCCAGCAGCCGC